AUGUUUCGGCGGUUCAGAAAACAAGAGUGUCUCGAAUCAACUGACCAUACAACAAUACACUUCAAACCGUUCCAUCACAACACCCAUUAUUUUGAACCAAUUCAAAAGGCUUUGGUGGCGCGAAACGAUCGUCAGUUUGCUGUUAGAUAUCUUGACGAACAAAGGCGUAGAUAGAGUCUGUAACUUUUGCAGAUCUGAAUUUUAUGAUGGAAUACAUGUACU